rnacentral:lncRNA from 1 species
UACAUAUCUAGAUCACUUUCAUUUCAUUUACAUAUUUUUAUUUCCAUCACCGGUAUCACUAGGGGCCCAUAGGGAUCUCGCUAUACGUGGAUGUACAAAAUAUUUCUUUUACAAUUCACCGAUCGUCUCCAUACCCCAUCCUGUAAUAGGUGUCACAAUUAUAAACUGUCUCAAUAACCCAUCGGGUAUGAGCGUAAUUAAACUAAUUCUCAACCCCAUCUAGUAUGGAACUUUCCAGCCUCAUAUGACUAAGGACACAUUUACGGUGGGGUUCACCCUAUGUACCAAGUCCGUACACUCUGUCUCAUGAUACACGGUAAGCUUUUUCCUCUUCAAAAAUUAUCUCAACUUCAAAAAUUUAAACACCAAUCAUAAACAUAUAUAUUCUUAUAUUCCUACACUUACUUACUUGUUCACGUAUCCAUUGUACAUAUGAUUUACAUGUAUGUAGCACACUUUAUAUUAUAUAUACAUAUAUGCACAACAAUAUAUAUCUUAACUACUCCUAUAUAUAUUUCGCAUAUAAUCAUAUCUACCAUUAAAAACUUACAGAUUUACACCCACACUCAUAUAGCAUCUUUAAUCACUUACCGAUACAUAUAUUGUAUGAUAUAUUCUCACACAUACACACAAAUGCGUAUGCACCUAAUUUAUAUAUAUGUCAUCCUACACAACUGCAUUCAUCUUACCUAUAUACUACAUAUAUUUAACAUAUAUCACAUAUAUUCAUACGAAAUCAUAUACCGCUCAUUCAAAAUAAUUACCCACGUAAUCAUAUGUAUAUGUAUGUCAAGACAUCCAGUUUGUAAACAUACACUCCCACCCAUUAUCUCCUACAUGUGUAUCAUUUGGCACACGCACAUACAUUCAAACACACUCAAUUAUGUAUUUAUACAACUUCACCAUUAUUCUUAUUUACACAAAAACAAUAGUAGGAAGCUAUUUACACAUUUUUACAUACGGAUGAUAAUUUGUGAGAAAACAUAUUCUAAAAUCAUCCAUUAAACUUGGGUCUGUCAUUUAAAAAUUAAUAAAUUAUUUUACAAAAAUAUAUAAUCCUCGAAUGAAAACUAACUCAAUUUUUACCAGAAUCUCCAACAAAAGAAGAAAUCGGAAAGCUUUCGAAUGACUUUGGUUCCAUAUAAUCGACUCCUGUUUCAGUUUCCUAUUCCUAAUUUCCCUAAAAAAUUUGCACACAUGAUUAAAGAUUUAAUUUAAAAGAGUAAUCAAAUGUAAGGUGGAAGAAAAUUUACCAAAAUUGGUAUCGAAUUUGGGCUUUCGACCUGAAAGAGUAUGGUUUCGGUCUCUCUCCAGUUCCCUGAUUUUUAGCAUCACAUAGAUCUUUGGACGGAUCCGGAACACUGUGCCAUGGUCUACUUCACACAGAUCAGGUCCACCCAACACACAUUUUGCUUCUUCUUCUUCAGCAAUGCGCGCCUUGCGUCUGACACCACGCGUAUAGCCUUGUGCACCCUGGCACCGCGCGCCUAGCCUCAUGUACCCCAGCAACGUGGUGCUGCAUGCUCAGCACUGUGCACCACGCGCCCAGUACCGCACACCACCUGCUUAGCACUGCACACCGUGUGCCCAGCACCGCAUACCACACGUCGCAUACCCGACAUUGCGAACCGUGCGCCACACACAGCUUUUUCUCCUAGUUGCACCUGUCGCUCGCCCGGCAUUGUGCACCGCGCGCAGCUCUUCUUUCGGUCGUGCGCCAUGCUUCCUUCUUUCCUUCUUUUUCUUCUUCGGAGGUAGCGUGCGCAGAUCCGACACCGCACGCAACUUCUCUUUUCCAGCCGCGAGCGCUGUGCGCCGUGCUUUUUUCUUUUUUUUUUUCUUCUUCUUCUCCACUGCCC